CUUAAAGAGAAAGAGAAAACUAAAUAGGAUGAGGGAGAGAAAUAGAGAGAGAGAGAGAGAGAAAGCGAAACGUGAGUGAGAGAUUAGUCGCAGCGAUCUGCAGCCGAACUGAUCGCAUCGUAAAACAAUUCUUCCGAUGAUAUAGAUAACGUGGAAGCAUUAAGAAAAAACAACAAACUAUUACUACUAAAUCAGCAAUCAACAGCUUCAUCAACAACUACACAGGAUUUACUACUACUGCAACAAUAAUAUUUCAGUCGACUGGGUGUUGUUUGAAGCCAUGAGAUUUUACCUAGCAAACGUUACACAUUUAUGUAAACUCCUUACCUAGCGAACGUUUACAUAAAACUCCCUAACACAUUUGUUCAUGGUGUCCUCUUGUCUUCUUCCAAUAUAUCAACCUCUGUUGAUUGUGACUGGAUAGUAACUAACCAAGAUGACUAGUAUGGAUUAACAUCAAUUUCUUUAUUACAGAAUCAUCGAUAAUAUUACAUCGAUUACGCAGGGAAGGAAGAAACUAGUGAUCAGUUUUUUUUACCCCUCUGUUAUUUACUUUUUACCUGGGUAGUAUACCUACUUUACAGCGGUAAGUGGCUACUGUUUUUUUUUCUCUCUCUCUUGUCUCCUCGCUCUCCUUCUUUUCUAUAUGAUCGGAAAGGAUUUUAGGCAUUAUUUUGAAAAGGAAUACACAUUAAAUACUCAAACAUCCUUGACACGACUUAGAAAGGAGAAGAAAAGGCUUGAAAGAGAGAAUAGAAAAGAAGAAAUUCGAUGUUAACUACAUAAUAUUAACAAUGGUCAUGAGUUGUGCGUGUCUGUCGCAUUUUCGUGCUUGUGUGUUUUUUGUCGUUGUCAUGUCCAUGUUUGCUGUCAGCGGACUAGUUACUGCUGAGUUUGUUGCUGAUUCGCCCUAUACACUCAAUAUCUGCCAAAACAUCGCGGACAGUUCUAUGAACAUUGCCAGUCCAACGAAAACUUACAGGAUACCUAAUCCCAAUGGACUUCUAAUCUUUAACGCUAGUCUCGGACCUCACUGGUACUAUGAAAUCGAUCCAACUCGCCACAGUUAUGAAGUCUUUGACUAUUUUUCAUUGGACUCUAGCACUGGUCAUUUAUACAUCAAAAGCCCCUUUAAUUGGUCAACAUUUUCCCAUGUUAUUAAACCAACUGGUCAUUUGAAUUUGUAUAUAACAGCGCACACACACACCCUGCAUAAUCAUCGGAUGCCCAGUCAUACUGUCAUGCCGCUAUCAGUGUAUGCCUAUGGUCCUGAUUGUCAUCAAAACCACAGGCGAAAAAGUAUGCCUCAUAAUGUUUUGCUACAGAACUAUCAAUUAAUUGUAAUUAAUAGUUACAAAGAUAGUUAUCCUAUCAUUUCAAAGGGAGAGCCUCUGGCUUGCUUGCUCAAAUUUUUGUCCGAAUCCAUACACGAUAAACUUUGCAAUGUAAUAAUACAUAACAGCAAAGACUAUACUGUAAGUAGCAAAUAUUGCAUUAGAGCUAGAAAUGAAAUGCAUCCGUUUGACGGUAUUUUAACUAUUUAUGGUGAUAUACAAUUUGGUUGUGAUGAACAAGAAAAGAAGACCUCUUUUAAAAUUCUUCACAACACACAUAAGUUCUUAGAACACUCCUUAGAGGAAAAAACGCGAAGUCGUCGUCGCAGACGAGCGUACCGGAAUCGUGCUCCACGUUUUCCUCAGGUGUAUUAUACUAAACGUGUUCAAGAAGACGAAUCCGCUGGUGUUAUUGUUGGGUUCAUUACGGCAACAGACCCAGAUAAAGAAGACGCAGGAAUAAUAACCUAUACCCUGAUUGCUACCCAGGAUAAACGUAGCCAGUCUAUGUUUGCGAUCGACCCUACAUCUGGCAAAGUUACCACUGUGACAAAACUUGACCGCGAACUAAUUCCUAAACAUUAUUUCACUGUUAUUGCAACAGAUAAUGGUGUCCCACCUCAAAGUAGUUCUGUGUCAUUAAUUAUUACAGUAACUGAUGCCAAUGAUAAUGUUCCUGUUUUUGAAAAAAAAGUCUAUGUAGAAAGUGUUUCAGAAAGCAUUGAUAUUGAUUCUGUCAUUUUAUCUGUCCGUGCUACAGACAGAGAUAUAGGAGACAAUGCAAAAAUCAAGUAUUCAAUUUUAAACCCCGAGGAACCUAAUGAUGCAUUUGCUAUUGGUCCAUACAAUGGUAUUAUUACUACUCGUAAGUAUCUUGAUCGGGAAGUAGUUAGUUUUUAUCGACUAAUAAUCCAAGCAACUGAUCAGGCUCCUGUGUCAGAAAGGAAAACUUCAACAGCAACAGUUGAAAUCACUAUAAUUGAUGACAACGAUAAUUAUCCUCAGUUCAGUCAACGAUCAUAUUCAACAGAAAUUCCUGAAGAUAUUGAUGUUAGCUCCAACCCCAUAAUCGUAAAUAUUUCAGCUAUAGAUAAAGACAAAGACAAAAAUGCAGAAAUAUCAUACACUAUUUCAGGUGGUAACAGUCGGAAUGUUUUUCGUAUUAACCAUGCUACUGGAGAACUUAUUCUGCAAAAAUCAUUAGACUUUGAAGAUACUAAACAAUACUCUCUCAAGAUCCGUGCUCAAGAUGGUGGAUCUCCACCCAAAACAAACAGUACAACAGUAAAUAUUCGUGUUACAGAUAUUAAUGACAAUGAUCCUGAAUUUUUUAAUAAUUACUUAGAACCUGUUACUGAAAAUAUUCCUGCAAAUACCAGUAUUCGACAAAUUCAGGCAUUUGAUCGGGAUUCUGGUUUGAAUGCUGAAUUAGUUUACAGAAUUGUGCAAAGACCAGCCUACUUACCUUUGACUAUAAAUCCUAAAACUGGAUGGAUUCGAACUACUGCAGUAUUGGAUAGAGAGAAUUCUACAUCAUAUACAUUUAGUGUUGAAGCUAAAGAUUCCGGAAAACCACCCCGAUCAGCUGUUACAAAAGUAGAACUUGUCAUUCGAGAUGUUAAUGAUAAUGCCCCGAUUUUUAACCCUAAAGUUUACAAUGUCAGUGUAUCUGAAGAAGCUAAACAUGGACAUCAAGUUGUGGCUGUUACAGCCACUGACAAAGACGAAGGAACAAAUGCUGAACUAAACUACCGCAUUACUAAGGGCAAUACUGAUGAUGCCUUUCGUAUUAUUUCAACUGAUGGAACCAUUUUGGUGGCCAAAACUCUUAACUAUCGUGAACACAGUCGGUAUACUUUGACAGUUACAGCAUCAGACCUUCUUGGAAAUAAAGAUGUUGCUGAAGUGUUUAUUCAGAUUAUUGAUACAAACAGAUUCCAACCGAAAUUUCAGAACACACCUUAUCGUAUAAGUGUUUCAGAAGAUGUACCUGUUGGAAAAACUAUCUUUAAUGUUUUUGCACUUGAUCAAGAUGUUGGAGAAAAUGCACGAAUAACUUACAGCAUCGAUCCUACUGAUGUUUUUGCAGUUGUUGCAAAUACUGGAGAUGUCUACACCCACAAAAAGCUUGACCGAGAGAAGCAAGCUGGUUAUACAGUCAGUGUUACAGCCAGUGAUCAAGGAAAGCCAUCUAAAAUGGACACCACAGAUUUAGUUAUUACUAUUGAGGAUGUAAAUGACAACAAACCAGAAUUUCAAGAAAUACGCUACUCAGGUUAUGUUUUGGAAAGUGCUGAAAUUGGAACACGAGUACUUGAAAUUUCAGCCAGAGACAGAGAUGCUGGGCGUAAUGGUCAAAUUUACUAUACAUUUGAAAAUGGCAAUGAUGGCAAUGGUGAUUUUCUCAUUGAUACUACUCAGGGUGCAAUUCGAAUUAAUAAGAAACUUGAUCGAGAACGUGUGUCCAAGUAUGAACUAGUUGCCUAUGCUGUUGAUAGAGGAGCUAAUCCAACUUCCUCAUCAGUUGUAAUAGAUAUUGAUGUAGAAGACGUUAAUGAUAAUAAACCACAAUUUGAAGCCGCUGAAAUCCGAGUGGAAAUUGUUGAAAAUAGCCCUAUAGGAUCAACUGUUGCAAAACUUAUGGCCCAUGAUCCUGAUGUUGGAGAAAAUGCAGAGAUUCAGUACAUGCUUUUGAAUGAGUAUGAUCGUGAUGAUUUUGAGCUACGUGGACGCCCUGGAUCAGCUGCUAUAAUUUUAUCUAAUGUUGAUCUUGAUUAUGAAUCAAGCAAAAAGUUUUAUAAGCUACGCCUUCGUGCCAUCUCUGAAAAUCUUUUUUCUGAUACUACUAUUAUUAUUGCUGUUACGGAUAUUAAUGAUAACAAACCCCAGCUACAAGAUUUCACUAUCAUCAUCAACAACCUUUUGAAUUAUUUUCCAACUGGUAUUAUUGGGAGAAUUCCUGCAUAUGAUCCAGAUGAAAUUAACCGUGACACUUUGACCUAUACAUUUGUGUCAGGUAAUGAAGGAAAUCUUUUAGAUCUAAAUCCUUCAACUGGAGAAAUUACCUUGGAUUCAAGACUUAACUCUGAUGUCUCUCGCAAUGGAACAUUAGAAGUUUCAGUUUCAGAUGGACUGAAUGAAGCAAAAGCUGUUUGUCACCUCUAUGUACGUUUAGUGACAGAUGAGAUUCUGAGGCACAGCAUAACAAUUCGACUAAACAACAUGACAUCUGAAGCAUUCUUGUCACCCCUCUAUAACUUCUUCAUCAACGCUUUGGCCACUGUUCUUCACACUGACGAGAAAAAUAUUCUUGUCAUCAAUGUGCAGGAUGACACUGAUGUGGCAGCACAGAUCCUCAAUGUUAGUGUAACUGUGCAUUCUGGAAUGGCUGACGGAAAUGACAUCUACCUUACACCACAGUACUUGCAGGAGCAAAUUUACCUUCAAAGAGCUCUUUUGGGCAAUUUGUCAGCACUACAGGUGAUGCCAUUUGAUGACAACUUGUGUGUGAUGGAACCAUGUAUUAACUUUGAAGUGUGUAUGACACGUCUCCUUAGUGGCAGUGCUGCACCGUUCAUCAAGUCUGAUUCAAUGCUCUUUCGACCAAUUCACUCAAACAAUGGAUACCAGUGCCGGUGUCCAAAGGGUUUUACAGGAAUGACAGUUGAUUUACUCUGUGAUGUUGAAGUAAAUUUCUGUUACUCAACACCUUGUCAACAGAAUGGAACAUGCAUUCCAAAAGAAGGGGGUUAUGUCUGCUUAUGUCCAGAAGGAUAUACAGGCAAAAAUUGUGAAAUGGAUCUGUUUCAAAAUUUUGGAAAGAAUUGUCCAAAGGAUAUAUGUAAACCCCCUUCUGUAUGUGAACCUCUUGAAGUCGGUGGCUUCUAUUGUAAAGGAUGCUCUGGUAUGGAUUAUCAUAACAAAUUCUGUGAAUUGACUACUCGCCGCUUCUUCAAAGGAUCUUAUCUGACUUUCCCAUCAAUAAAGCAACGGAAUCAUUUCAAGGUUCAGCUGAAUUUCAGCACUUUGGAAAAGAAUGGUUUACUCUUCUACAACAGCCGAUUCAAUGACGAGCAUGAUUUCAUUGCUCUGGAAAUAGUAAAUAGCAAAGUGCAGUUUUCCUUCUCUCUUGGUGCUAACAAAACAUCCGUGAUGGCAGAAAUUGAUGGUGGUGUAAGUGAUGGCAAAUGGCAUGAAGUGACUGUGGAGUACCACAAUAGGACGGCAACCUUAUCUUUGGGUAGGGACUGCGAUUUAGGCGUGGCCAUCCACUACCGACAUCUUUUUGACAACUACAAAUGUGCUAAUCGAGUCACUAUGAUUCUGGAAGACAAAUGCUCCCGUAUGGCUGUCAUCUGCUAUCGGCUCUUAGAUUUAACAGGACCACUUCAGAUUGGAGGCCUUCCUCAUCUGCCUUCUUCAUUUCCAAUCAAAAAUAAAGAUUUUGUUGGUUGUAUCAAGGACUUUCGUAUCGACAAUGUUUUACUUGACUUAAACACAUCUGUUGCUGAAAAGGAUACCCAGCCUGGUUGUGAACCAAAGAAAGAUUUUUGUCUUUCAUCUCCCUGCAAGCAUGGAGGUACUUGCUCUGAUUCAUGGGAUACUUUCCAUUGUGAAUGCUUACCAGGAACUGCUGGAAAAACAUGUGAAGACUUACUUGAUCAAUUCUAUCAGCUUGAAGGCAAUGGCUAUUUGGCUUUCGAUAACCCCAACCUGGAUCAGAUUGCAUUCCCCUGGUAUAAUGGUAUCUCUUUCCGGACUCGUGCAAAAGAUGCUGUUCUACUUGAUUUAAUUAUUGAUCAAGAAAAAGCUCUUCUCAUGUUGAAGGAUGGUUUUGUGACUUAUAAGUUUCGACACCAUAACAUUGUAUACCAACACAAUCCAGUUGAUGAUGGUCAAUGGCAUUAUGUACAAACAAGCUGGUACCAAGAAGAACUUAGUAUUACUGUUGAUUAUAUCAAUGAUACUAUGGAAGUGGGAAAAAUUUCUUCUGAUAUACUGGGUAAAGAUAUAACUCGAAUUUAUAUCGGUGCUUAUUCAAAAGACAGCACUAACUUUACUGACUAUUUUGUUGGAUGUAUUCGGAGUUUUCGUAUUGGCAACAAAUUAUCAAACUCAUUGUUAGCAAAUCCACGAGUGCACCAAGCUGAUAAAGGAUGUAAAGUUGAUGAUCCAUGCCAACACGAUAACCCAUGUCGUCCAAACACCUGCAUAAACGAGUGGGGAAAAUAUCGUUGUCAAUGUUUGCCAGGUCGCAUUGGUUCCAAUUGCACUGAUGUCUGUGACAAUUUCAACCCUUGUCAAAACAUGGGUAUAUGCCAUCGCCCCACUGCUCACGAAACUACGUACUCUUGUGAAUGCGGUCAUUUGCAACUUGGUCGUUACUGUGAAAUAAGCUUACUUCAGCCUUGUCCUGCAUCUUGGUGGGGAUAUCCUAUUUGUGGACCAUGCAACUGUAACAAAAAAAUGGGAUUCAGCCCAGUUUGUAACAAAUCCACAGGAGCCUGUUCAUGCAAAACUAACCACUAUAAACCAAAAAAUGAAGACCAAUGUUUUCCUUGCAAUUGUUACCAUGUUGGAUCUAAAGGUUUUUUUUGUAACCCUGUCACUGGUCAGUGCAAUUGUAAAAAAGGAGUGGUUGGUCGCAGAUGUGACAGCUGCCUGAGUCCCUUUGCAGAAGUGCAUGAAUCAGGUUGCCGAGUUGUUUAUGAUGUGUGCCCUAGAAGUUAUGCCAAAGGUUUGUGGUGGGAUCGCACUUUUAUCAAUGAAAUUGCAGUUCAAGAUUGUCCAACAGGCGCAAUCGGUGAUGCUAAACGCAACUGUACCAAAUUACAAAGCUGGCUUGCUCCAGACCUUUUCAAUUGUACCAGCAAAGAAUUCGUGAAAAUACAAAACCAGAUUCAGCAAAUUGAAAGAGGUUCUCUGAAAAUCAACACCUAUGUAUCAAAAACAUUGAUGCUUCAGUUAGCAGAGUCAGCAGCAUCAGCAAAAAACCUCUAUGGAAAUGACAUCAGUAUUAUUCUAAGGACCAUAAACCAGAUCUUGUUUUAUGAAAAUAAGCAAGAAGGUUUAAGUUUGACAAGUGAACAAGAUCGUAAAUUUAUCAAGAACAUGUUGUCAGCUCUGAGUUACUCAUACAAUAGCAAAUACCGAACUGAAUGGAAUCGACUAAACAGAAAUGGUGGGACUAUGUCACUGACUAUUCUCUUUGAGACCUAUCUCCAUACUCUUGCAACAAGCAUGUCCUUGUCUCAAUCUUGGCCUUUCCAAGUUGUUUCUGAAAAUAUUGUACUGGCUGUUGAUGUAAUCAAUUUACGAAACUUCACUGGUAUCCAAAUUCCUAAGUAUGACAAUAUUGUACCAAAUACUGCCAUGUUUGAUAAAGAUACCAACAUUCAGCUACCUCGUUCUCUCUUGAUAACAGAAAGGAAAUUGUUUGGCACAAUUCCACCUCAUAAGCAAAACCCAUCUGGUAAAGCUAUUGUAGGUUACAUGAUUUACCGAAGUCUAGGUGAUGUAAUGCCAGAAAACUAUGAUGAAACAGUGCGAAGAAUACCUGAUCGACCAAUGGCUAUCAGCACUCCUAUUAUUAGUCUCAUUCUACAGAACCAGCAACAUCAUGUUACAGGUCACACAUCCGAACCAAUAAAUAUUACAUUUAAGCAGCUUGUUAACCAUAACAGAACAAGUCCUCAAUGUGUUUAUUGGCAACCGUUCAACCGUGGGUUAAAUGGAUAUUGGUCAAGGAAAGGAUGUGAGAUGACUGACCAUUUUCAGCUGAAUGAAGACAAUUAUGUGGUCUGUUCCUGCUCACAUCUUAGUACCUAUGCUGUUCUCAUGGACAUGAGUGACAUUGAGGUAGGGUAAUAUGCUUUCCUUUGAAAUUUACUUCUUUCUCACUUUAAUGGUCUUUCCAGGAGUCCAAAUUGCAACCAAUGUAAAACAUCAUAUAAUAACGAGCUUAUGUAUACAAUACUCAGGUGCACUACAACUAUUUGGAAAAAGAUAAAACUGAAGACAGAGCAGCAAUAAGUCAAGUAAUGAAAGACAGCAAUGGGAACCAAAAAUUCAUGCAUAGUACA
rnacentral:misc_RNA from 1 species